UCUCUAAACACCUUCAGGUGGGCUCUUCAUACAAGCAACCUCUCUCUCACUUUUUCCCUCUCUCUCUCUCACACACAGUCUCAGACAUUUGACACACAACCUACAUUCUCACGUGCCCCCAGACACAUACACCCUUGAACACAUUCUGGCUGAUGACACGCUUGCUGCCUAUGUGCAAAAACACACACCAGCUCACGUAACACUCACACAUCCACACAUUCACACGCACUCAUACUUUCCCUCUCUGUCUCUCUCUCUCACACACACACACUCAGUCUCUCUCUCACCUGCACAACAUGCUUCUGGCAGAGCACCCGCAGCUGUACUAACCUGCCCGCCUUUGUUCCCAGGCCUGGCCUCAGCAGCAUUUUCCCAGGCCCAGGCUUCCUUUAGCUGCUGCUUCCCUGUUUCCCUCUGAGCCUGGUCACUGGGCCCUGACUCAACACCGGUACGUGUCAGGAGUCGUGCAGCGUCACAAGCCCUGCUGGAUGUGAACACGCUGUCCCGACAGUGUUGUUACCGGUUGUAAGACGCCUCUCCUACUGACUCCUCAUUCCUGCUGGCAACCUUUACUUCCAAGUGCAGCCAAGGUUGAGAGUCUCUGGCCUAAGGAGCAUCCAAGCACAUCCGAGGAGCUUAAGAAAGCCACCUGGCAAUCAUUAACCUCACUCUUUAAACACCUCGUUCAGGAGCCAUGGGGCUAAGCACCUGUGAUGAAAACUUGUUGGGCUGAAUGUCUGUCUGUGCUAGACCUUUCUGGACUUCAGAUGCAGAGUUGAGUUUGUCAGAUCCAUCAGUUCAAGCACAUUGCCUUCGUUGGCCCAGAUAGUAAAGAAUCUGCCUGCAAUGCAGGAGACCCGGGUUCGAUCCCUGGGUCGGGAAGAUCUUCUGGAGAAGGGAAUGUCGAUCCACUCCAGUGUUCUUGCCUGGAGAAUCCCACCAACAGAGGAGGAGCCUGGCGGGCCACAGUCCACGGGGUUGCAAAGAGUCAGGCACAACUGAGCAACUAACACUUUCACUACUACCAUAUUGCUUUGGGUACAUCCUGUCUGGUGUUCCUAACUCCUGCAGAGGCUGCCAGUCUGCUUCCACCACAUUUUUCCCAUCCACACCCCCAGUGAUAUUCACCCACAUUUCUCCCAGCUCCCCAGCACC
ensembl:lncRNA